GGGGAAUAUUGGACAAUGGGCGCAAGCCUGAUCCAGCAAUGCCGCGUGUGUGAAGAAGGCCCUCGGGUUGUAAAGCACUUUUAUCAGGAGCGAAAUCUGCAAGGUUAAUACCUUUGCAGUCUGACGGUACCUGAGGAAUAAGCACCGGCUAACUCCGUGCCAGCAGCCGCGGUAAUACGGAGGGUGCAAGCGUUAAUCGGAAUUACUGGGCGUAAAGCGUGCGUAGGCAGUUCGUUAAGUCUGUUGUGAAAGCCCCGGGCUCAACCUGGGAAUGGCAAUGGAUACUGGCGAGCUAGAGUGUGUCAGAGGAUGGUGGAAUUCCCGGUGUAGCGGUGAAAUGCGUAGAGAUCGGGAGGAACAUCAGUGGCGAAGGCGGCCAUCUGGGACAACACUGACGCUGAGGCACGAAAGCGUGGGGAGCAAAC
rnacentral:rRNA from 1 species